CUGUAGUUACUUUUAAGGACAAGGAAACUGUAGCAGGACUAAUACUAGAUUUUUGCUUUAUCCAGUUCUUGGGGGUUUUAUUGUGUCAGUGAAAUUGAUGAAAUUGGAGAAUAAAUGGCAAGCAAUUCAGGGAAAGGAUCUCCAAUUAAUGGUUCUGUGUAUGUCUGUAACUUGCCCCUUGGUACAGAUGAAGAUAUGCUAGCUGAAUAUUUUGGCAGAAUAGGGGUGCUAAAGGAAAAUAUAGGUGAUCAAAUUUGAAUGAUAGCAGCAGGUCAACUCAAUAUAUUGGAGCGAACGAUAUACUGUUUUUGAACUACUAUUAUAUAUGUUAGAAUAGAUUGUGAAAUUUAUUGCUAGUACACCUCUUUAAAAUAUUUCUUUCUAAGUAUGUAGUACAAGACA